rnacentral:lncRNA from 1 species
UUUGUGUUUUACAAGUGUUUGCUGAAGUAACUUAAAUAGCAAGUAAUUUGUUCCACUCUAGGGUAAUACAAUUCUAACCGAAAGCAAAGAGAGGCUUAAUGUGUUAUUAGUCAAUGUGGUCUCUUCCCCAGUGAAUUUUCAGUGUCUUUUAAGUUUUCUGAUAUUAAAAGUAGAUCUCUGAGUCUUGAGGGGUGGUAACAUAGGAUUAGAAUCGUCAAUAUAGACCCAGGAUUCACUAAAGAAUAGUAACAUUAGAGAGAAGUUUCAAUUCCCAAAUAAGAAAAUUGAGAAAAGCAAAUUUCAUGGUAUAAAAACCAUUUCUUAGAUAAAAUCUUGAGAAUGAAGCGAGGAUUUCAGUUUGAUAGGAUUUUUGCUUUGGUCAAACACUAGAGAUUUACUUAAAUCAUUGUAAUAGCAAGAAACAUAUUUCCACAGUUUGCUAUUCAAAAACUGUUUCCUUCUUUUGUAUAGGAAUGUUCUUUGCAGGUGUGUUCAAUUUCCAUAUUUUGUUUGUUAGGAUUUUGCUUCCUUUUCUAUGUGUCCUUGUCAAGACAGUGCCAAAAUGUGUGAUUGUCAUUCAAAUCAUUGGUAUGCCACAAAAGGGACUACUGCACUAAAUUGCUCAAGACCCCUUUGCUGUGGUCCUUGGCCAGGCAGAGUGGAAGACCACAAUCUGUGGGAAAGACACCCUCUCUCAGACUGAACACAGAACUGCAGAGGCCCUCCCUUUGAACCUCUCCAUCCCGGGUCCACGGAGGAAGUGGAUCCAUCCUUUUGUAAGGGUAAUUACAGUGUCUUUUGUGAGGGGGGUGCGGGGAGUCUGAGUUAGGCCGCCGCCAGCCCAGGAGAAUGGGAAUGUGAUUCAAGAUACCAGAACAGCAAAGGUGUGGGGACCAAGGGGCUGCAGGGGGACAGUGUGACAAAAGGGAGAGGGACCAAGGAAAACAAAAGAGUGGCCCCACAGAGUACAGGAGGACAGCAGCACUUUACAAAGAGGGGCUGGGCCA